GAUGAACGCUGGCGGCGUGCCUAAUACAUGCAAGUCGAGCGAACAGACGAGGAGCUUGCUCCUCUGACGUUAGCGGCGGGCGGGUGAGUAACACGUGGAUAACCUACCUAUAAGACUGGGAUAACUUCGGGAAACCGGAGCUAAUACCGGAUAACAUGUUGAACCGCAUGGUUCAACAGUGAAAGACGGUUUUGCUGUCACUUAUAAAUGGAUCCGCGCCGCAUUAGCUAGUUGGUAAGGUAACGGCUUACCAAGGCAACGAUGCGUAGCCGACCUGAGAGGGUGAUCGGCCACACUGGAACUGAGACACGGUCCAGACUCCUACGGGAGGCAGCAGUAGGGAAUCUUCCGCAAUGGGCGAAAGCCUGACGGAGCAACGCCGCGUGAGUGAAGAAGGUCUUCGGAUCGUAAAACUCUGUUAUUAGGGAAGAACAAAUGUGUAAGUAACUAUGCACGUCUUGACGGUACCUAAUCAGAAAGCCACGGCUAACUACGUG
rnacentral:rRNA from 1 species